rnacentral:pre_miRNA from 1 species
ACAACAUUCGGACCGUCGCCGCGUCGCCGCGUCGGUCUACCGAGCAAUAUCAGCCGCUCGGUCGAAGAUCUUCCCUCUGACGU